CACCGUCGUCGUCCCAGUGGUCGUCGUGCUGCUUCUGACCGGACUCGUUUUAUUCUUUGUGUUAUAUAAACUACACAAGAUAAGAGGUCAAGAAGAACCUCCAAAGAUCUCCAAAGAGGUGGAUGAGGUUGAUGGAGAUGACCCCCCUGCUGAAGAAACCUACGAGAAUCUACAAAGAGGAACCGACGAUCUGGUUUACGAGAACUUCUGGCGUUAAAUAAAAUGCU